GACGAACGCUGGCGGCGUGCCUAAUACAUGCAAGUCGAACGCAGUGGGGACGGGGGAGUAACACGUGGGUAACCUCCCAUCAGAGGGGAUAACACUUGGAAACAGGUGCUAAACCGAUACUGAUGGAUGGACCCGCGGUGCAUUGGCUAGGUGGUGAGGUAACGGCUCACCAAGGCCACGAUGCAUAGCCGCCCUGCGAGUGUGAUCGGCCACCCGCUGACUGAGACACGGCCCAGACUCCUACGGGAGGCAGCAGUAGGGAAUCGUCGGCAAUGGACGAAAGUCUGACCGAGCAACGCCGCGGGAGUGAAGAAGGUUUUCGGAUCGUAAAACUCUGUUGUUAGAGAAGCGGUAUCUAACCAGAAAGCCACGGCUAACUACGUGCCAGCAGCCGCGGUAAUUC
rnacentral:rRNA from 1 species